UAGCUCAGUGGUAGAGCGUGUGGCUUUUUAACCACGUGGCCGUGGGUUCGAUCCAU
rnacentral:tRNA from 1 species